rnacentral:lncRNA from 1 species
UCCGUCUAGUGGGAUUCUUCAAUAGAGUCUCCAUCCAAUGGGACUCUUCAUCAGAGUCUCCGUCCAUUGGGACUCUUCAGAUUAGCCAUAUGAUCGGAGAGAAACUUCUAAUGUGUGUGACCCCAUAGGUUCGAACCUAAGCCGAUAGCAUAGAAACUGAUUCCUAUACCAAUCGGAGUAACCAUCUAACAAUAGUACCCAAUAUCCGGA